rnacentral:rRNA from 1 species
GAUGAACGCUGGCGGCGUGCUUAACACAUGCAAGUCGAACGAUGAAGCCCAGCUUGCUGGGUGGAUUAGUGGCGAACGGGUGAGUAACACGUGGGCAACCUGCCCCAAACUCUGGGAUAACUCCUCGAAAGAGAUGCUAAUACCGGAUACGAACUAGACAGACAUCUGUACUAGUUGGAAAGUUUUUCGGUUUGGGAUGGGCCCGCGGCCUAUCAGCUUGUUGGUGAGGUAACGGCUCACCAAGGCUACGACGGGUAACUGGCCUGAGAGGGCAACCGGUCACACUGGGACUGAGACACGGCCCAGACUCCUACGGGAGGCAGCAGUGGGGAAUAGUGCGCAAUGGGCGAAAGCCUGACGCAGCGACGCCGCGUGAGGGAUGAAGGUCUUCGGAUCGUAAACCUCUUUCAGUAGGGACGAAGCGAAAGUGACGGUACCUAAAGAAGAAGCACCGGCUAACUACGUGCCAGCAGCCGCCGUAA